rnacentral:rRNA from 1 species
AUUGAACGCUGGCGGCAUGCUUUACACAUGCAAGUCGAACGGCAGCACGGGGGCAGCCCUGGUGGCGAGUGGCGAACGGGUGAGUAAUACAUCGGAACGUGCCCGGUCGUGGGGGAUAACGUAGCGAAAGUUACGCUAAUACCGCAUACGAUCUGAGGAUGAAAGCGGGGGACCUUCGGGCCUCGCGCGAUCGGAGCGGCCGAUGUCAGAUUAGGUAGUUGGUGGGGUAAAGGCCUACCAAGCCGACGAUCUGUAGCUGGUCUGAGAGGACGACCAGCCACACUGGGACUGAGACACGGCCCAGACUCCUACGGGAGGCAGCAGUGGGGAAUUUUGGACAAUGGGCGCAAGCCUGAUCCAGCCAUUCCGCGUGCAGGACGAAGGCCUUCGGGUUGUAAACUGCUUUUGUACGGAACGAAAAGGCUCUGGCUAAUACCUGGGGCUCAUGACGGUACCGUAAGAAUAAGCACCGGCUAACUACGU